rfam:Sphingopyxis sp. MC1 contigEBMC1_3, whole genome shotgun sequence.
GGGCCGGUAGCUCAGGUGGUUAGAGCGCACGCCUGAUAAGCGUGAGGUCGGAGGUUCAACUCCUCCUCGGCCCA